rnacentral:rRNA from 1 species
GAUGAAUGCUGGCGGCGUGCCUAACACAUGCAAGUCGAGCGGCAGCGCGAGUAGUUUACUACUUGGCGGCGAGCGGCGGACGGCUGAGUAACGCGUGGGAACGUGCCCCAAAGUGAGGAAUAACUGCCCGAAAGGGUGGCUAAUGCCGCAUAUGAUCUUCGGAUUAAAGUCUUCGGACGCUUUGGGAGCGGCCCGCGUCGGAUUAGGUUGUUGGUGAGGUAAUGGCUCACCAAGCCGACGAUCCGUAGCUGGUCUGAGAGGAUGAUCAGCCAGACUGGGACUGAGACACGGCCCAGACUCCUACGGGAGGCAGCAGAGAGGAAUCUUCCACAAUGGGCGAAAGCCUGAUGGAGCAACGCCGCGUGCAGGAUGAAGGCCCUCGGGUCGUAAACUGCUUUUAUAAGUGAAGAAUAUGACGGUAACUUAUGAAUAAGCACCGGCUAACUACGUGCCAGCAGCCGCGGUAA